CAAAAAACAAGGCUUAUACUAAUUGUUUCAGUUAAUUUCAUGCUUAUGCAAAGUGCCAGAAAAGCUGAUAGAAUUAAAGCUCUCCUUUUCUGGAAUGAUACUCCUCUAAGUUGUAUGCUAUGCCUCCAAGCUCUGCUUGAAACCUGUUUGCUGAAUCUUAAAUCUCUCUUUUUCCAUAUUUUCUGACCUAUCUUGGAUCCCAUAGCAGUUGGUGUAAAUCAUCAUAACACCCUAAAAUUAAUUCACACUGUGCUGGCUUACAGGAGGUAAGGCUUUUGCCCAGAAAACAAUGUAGGAAUGUGGAAUGUCUCUGAGUAUAGAAACAACAGAUCUGUUUAAACUAACUUGGAGGUGGUGCAUUCAACCAGAGCCAGAAUGAAUCUGAAAUGGCCGCAGCUGCAUGCAGUCCUGUGACACAGCUGCUGCUCCAGCAAAGGCCUCAAUUUGCUGGCAUGAUGUCCUCCCAGGAGGAGUAGCACCCUGGCAGUCCAUCCACUGUCCAUGAGUUCCUCAUGACACUGGAGUGGGGGUAAUUCACCAGGCUGAGAUGGGGCAAGGGAAGGUGGCAGUGGUGGAAGGCACCGUGCUUCAGGAAAUCUCAAUCCUGUUUUUGGUUCUGCCAUUGUCUCCUUGUUCUCCCUGGACUUUCAGCAGAAAAAUAACCGGUUCUGGUCACUGUUCUACUUCUUCUCAUGGUGAGUGAACCUGCAGCCUUUCCUGCUCUUCACUAGUCACUUCCCACUGCACCAGAUGCCAUCUCUUCUUACCCACUGGACACUUGCCUUUUUUGCAAAUAGCAUUUGUAUGGUCAUUCACUCUGGUCACAUGCACUGAUGCCAGGCAUGUUGUCUCUAAUUUAGGUUAACCAUGGUUCCGCAGUCAUAGCCAGGAUUGAAGAGAGUGGUCACAAGAUUGUGUAACUAGCUCACUGUUAUUCAUUGUUAUUAUAUUUUCUUCAAAUUCUUCUGUGUUUCAGUUAAAAAAAUACUGAAAAACAAGUUUAUUUACUUUGUCUUCCAGUUGACUUAUCUGAUGCACAUUUGGAAGAAAAAUAAAUCUCCAUUUAAUAAACA
rnacentral:lncRNA from 1 species